AGUGUGGCUCAUCCUAAGCCUUAGGAGGACCCUAAUUAGGUUAUUAACAAUGUACCUGCCUAUACAGUUUAUGUUUAAAAAAAUUGGCUCUCAAAAGAAAUUUCAAUCAUUAUACUGUUGAUAUUUGGCUCUGUUGACUAAUGAGUUUGCCAACCACUGUUCUAAACCU